CAGAAACAAAAGCUGAUAAAUCUAUCUUAUACUCCACUACUUUUUGAUUAGAAGUCUGCUACUUCUACAAAGUGACUGACCCUAAUUCGGUGAAGAUGUCAGCAGCCAAUUUAUUCCUAACGUUUUGAAUUAUGUUCCCUUCAAGGUUUGAAUGGCUGGUAUACAUUGAGUAGCAUUCCAUAAACUUCAGCAUAUAGAUACCAGACUCUUCAUUUCUAGGAGCCUACAACCAAAAACCAAAAGAAUUACUUAAGCAAAGAAGUUAUAGAAGUCAGGACUUACGGAAUAUUCAUUUCUAAGACUAUGAUAUAUGAAAAGUGGUCAGGACUUUGAUGCUAAAUGGAGAGACAUCCAU
rnacentral:sRNA from 1 species